AUGAAUGACACCAACAUACCGACUAUGAGUUGGAACGUGAGGGGACUAAACUCACCUGCAAGACGCGCUGUCAUCUGUGACACUGCAAGUGCACACAAACUAGCCAUACUUUACCUUCAAGAAACAAAGAUCGACUGCUGGUCCACCUGCUUAGCUAGGGAAGUAGGAGGCACCUGGCUUGACCAGCGCAUUAUGCUUCCAGCCAUUGGAACGAGAGGAGGGGAGGCCAUCUUUUGGAACUCUAGCCUGGUGACCGUGCAGUCUCACUCGAUAGGGCGUUUCUCCAUCACGGCAAAAGUUUUGGUAGGAGGGACAGACAAGGAGGACUGGCUAACUACUGUCUAUGGGCCUUCGGACGACGAGCAGAAAGACGACUUCCUCGCAGAACUAGCUAGGGUUGCACCACCAACAGGCCAGGCAUGGCUCAUAAAUGGCGACUUCAACAUCAUAUACGAGGCUAGAGACAAGAGUAAUAGCAACAUCAACCGUAGGCUCAUGGGAAAAUUUAGAGCGACGAUCAAUGCCGGUGGCCUACGUGAAAUCAAAUGCAAAAAACCGCCAUUUCACCUGGAGCAAUGA
rnacentral:rRNA from 1 species